UUGGAGGGCAAGUCUGGUGCCAGCAGCCGCGGUAAUUCCAGCUCCAAUAGCGUAUAUUAAAGUUGCUGCAGUUAAAAAGCUCGUAGUUGAAUUUCGGGACUAUCAUGUCGGUCGUGCCUCGGUACGUACUGGUAUUGUUGGUUUCUCCCUUCUGACGAACCAUGAUGUCAUUUAUUUGGUGUUGUGGGGAAUCAGGACUGUUACUUUGAAAAAAUUAGAGUGUUUAAAGCAGGCUCACGCUUGAAUACAUUAGCAUGGGAUAAUGAAAUAGGACGUUUGAUUCUAUUUUGUUGGUUUCUAGGAUCGACGUAAUGAUUAAUAGGGAUAGUUGGGGGCAUUAGUAUUCAAUUGUCAGAGGUGAAAUUCUUGGAUUUAUUGAAGACUAUCUACUGCGAAAGCAUUUGCCAAGGAUGUUUUCAUUAAUCAAGAACGAAAGUUAGGGGAUCGAAGACGAUCAGAUACCGUCGUAGUCUUAACCAUAAACUAUGCCGACUAGGGAUCGGAUGAUGUUAAUUUUUUAAUGACUCAUUCGGCGCCUUACGGGAAACCAAAGUGUUUGGGUUC
rnacentral:rRNA from 1 species